GGGGAACUCGCCGUCGUCGAGCUGGGGAGACAUGUAGUUUCCGGAAGCUGGGAGCUCUGAGACCGGACGUGGAGAAGCCGGGUCCUCCAGGACGGCCUCCCAGAAGCUCCUGAGUGCUCAGCCACCAGAAGAGGGCUUGUCACCUGCUCUGACUGCUGGCUGGCUGGAUUUGCAUCGGCACACUUCUGACGGGUUACUCUCAAGAAGGCCUGCCUCCCCGCUCCUCUAAGGAUCAAACGCUGUAGGACACACACAGGGCUUCUUCAAGAGCACCAAGUGGUGGCCCUUAGGGUGGGGAACCAGCAGAUGCUCAAACUGAAGAAUUAUAUCAAGGGCGGAGAACCGUUCUCUCCUGCUUUCUGUGGCGGUGCUGUCAGGUAUCUGAAAGAUAGUGCGGGAAGCCAAGUAAAAAUAUCUUCUUUUUGUCUCUCAUGUUACAAAGCAAACAUGAAUUUUUCUAUGACUAUAGUAAGCCUAUGGAAUGUCUGCUGCCUCUGGCAAUUUUACUAUUUUAUUGUGUUUUGGGCCAAUUUGGUGGGAGAGUGUGGUUGAAAAUGCAGUAAGGAUACCCAGGGUAAAUCCUAAGGUGUUCUGGCUGGGUUUUGUUUGAGCCGCGUUCGUGUUCGAGGUUGAUGCAGCGCUGAGUCCGAUUGGUUGGGCCCCCAGCAUUCCGCCGGUGUGGCACAGAGACCACAGGUGCUCUCUGAGGGCACAGGGUGGAGCUCCUCACCUCCAGGCCGCCGCUACUCCGUUGCCUUGGCGACAGAUUCCCGUUUGAGCAUGUCCUGCAGCCGUAACGCGUCGCGUUCUCACUCCUUAACUGAACACAAAAGGCAUUCGACCGGCCAUUAAAAGGCAUUAAAUGUGUCGUUUUCCUGGAGAAUAUGGCUUUUGAUUUGCUCCUUUCGCAUUUUUAUUACGAUACUAUGAAGCACAGCACAGGCCUUAAUUAAUCAUCAGUCUGUACGCGGGGACGAGCGCGCUGUUAUGUGUCGUCGUGUUUGUUAUUGUAAUUAUUUUUUCAUUAUGCUGAGGCAUGUUGUUUUGAAGGGCGGACACAGAUAUUGUCCAUGCCUUGGAUUAUGUAUGCGAUAAGCAUAAAUAACCUGAUAAGAUUAGGCCUCUCUCAGGCUUCUCGUCAUCAAUGCCGAUGUCGCAGGGAUAAGGGAAAAGGAGCUGGCCGUUGAAAGGUGACGUUGGAGGGCGUCAGUGCUGGUUAGCUACCAGCGGAUGGGCAUGAAAGCAAGCAGGUGUGGCUCCAAGUAUAUGCAGCUAAAUGCUAAGCAUUGUGCGGUUGGACGAGAAGCCGCCCGUGUGGGCCGGCCCGGCGGUGUGAACGGGGCUGCGAGGCUUUCCACCGAGGACACCAGCCCAGCGGGGCGCCGUUAAUUCAAACGCCAUUACUUAUUGAUAAGGCUUGGAAAAACGCAG